rnacentral:rRNA from 1 species
AGUGAACGCUGGCGGCGUGCCUAAUACAUGCAAGUCGAACGAAGUGGCGCACGGGUGAGUAAUAUAUAGUUAAUCUGCCCUACACAGAGGAACAACAGUUGGAAACGGCUGCUAAUACCUCAUAGUGUAGGAUGAGACUAUAUCGUAUCAGCUAGUUGGUAAGGUAAUGGCUUACCAAGGCUAUGACGCGUAACUGGUCUGAGGGGAUGAUCAGGUAACUUGGAACCGAGACAGGGGUCAAACUUCUUCGGGAAGGAGGCGUUAGGAAAAUUGGCAAAUGGGGGAAACCCUGACGCAGCAACGCCGCGUGGAGGAUGACACUUUUCGGAGCGUAAACUCCUUUUAUCAGGAAAGCGGUACCUGAUGAAUAAGCACCGGCUAACUCCGUGCCAGCAGCCGCGGUAAUAC